UACGAAGGGGGCUAGCGUUGUUCGGAAUUACUGGGCGUAAAGCGCACGUAGGCGGACAUUUAAGUCAGGGGUGAAAUCCCGGGGCUCAACCCCGGAACUGCCUUUGAUACUGGGUGUCUGGAGUCCGGAAGAGGUGAGUGGAAUUCCGAGUGUAGAGGUGAAAUUCGUAGAUAUUCGGAGGAACACCAGUGGUGAAGGCGGCUCACUGGUCCGGUACUGACGCUGAGGUGCGAAAGCGUGGGGAGCAAACAGG
rnacentral:rRNA from 1 species